UACGGGGGGGGCAAGCGUUGUUCGGAAUUACUGGGCGUAAAGGGCUCGUAGGCGGCCAACUAAGUCAGACGUGAAAUCCCUCGGCUUAACCGGGGAACUGCGUCUGAUACUGGAUGGCUUGAGUGUGGGAGAGGAAUGCGGAAUUCCAGGUGUAGCAGUGAAAUGCGUAGAUAUCUGGAGGAACACCGGUGGCGAAGGCGGCAUUCUGGACCAUUACUGACGCUGAGGAGCGAAAGCCAGGGGAGCAAACGGG
rnacentral:rRNA from 1 species